rnacentral:rRNA from 1 species
GACGAACGCUGGCGGCGUGCUUAACACAUGCAAGUCGAACGGAAAGGCCCUGCUUUUGUGGGGUGCUCGAGUGGCGAACGGGUGAGUAACACGUGAGUAACCUGCCCUUGACUUUGGGAUAACUUCAGAAAACUGGGGCUAAUACCGGAUAGGAGCUCCUGCUGCAUGGUGGGGGUUGGAAAGUUUCGGCGGUUGGGGAUGGACUCGCGGCUUAUCAACUUGUUGGUGGGGUAGUGGCUUACCAAGGCUUUGACGGGUAGCCGGCCUGAGAGGGUGACCGGCCACAUUGGGACUGAGAUACGGCCCAGACUCCUACGGGAGGCAGCAGUGGGGAAUAUUGCACAAUGGGCGGAAGCCUGAUGCAGCAACGCCGCGUGCGGGAUGACGGCCUUCGGGUUGUAAACCGCUUUCGCCUGUGACGAAGCGUGAGUGACGGUAAUGGGUAAAGAAGCACCGGCUAACUACGUG